AAAACGACUCUCGGCAACGAUAUCUUGGCUUUUCCAUUCAUUAAAAAAGUAACCAAAUGGCAUACUUGGGGGGGAUUGGAAAAUUCCGUGAACCAUCGAGUCUUUGAACGCAAGUUGCGCCCCAAGGCCGUUAGGCCAAGGGACGCCUGCCUGGGUGUCACGCA
rnacentral:rRNA from 1 species